CCUACGGGAGGCAGCAGUGAGGAAUAUUGGACAAUGGGCGCAAGCCUGAUCCAGCCAUGCCGCGUGCAGGAAGAAGCAUCUAUGGUGUGUAAACUGCUUUUGUACGGGAAGAAACACUCCUUCGUGAAGGAGCUUGACGGUACCGUAAGAAUAAGGAUCGGCUAACUCCGUGCCAGCAGCCGCGGUAAUACGGAGGAUCCAAGCGUUAUCCGGAAUCAUUGGGUUUAAAGGGUCCGUAGGCGGUUUAAUAAGUCAGUGGUGAAAUCUGGUCGCUUAACGAUCAAACGGCCAUUGAUACUGUUAGACUUGAAUUAUUUGGAAGUAACUAGAAUAUGUAGUGUAGCGGUGAAAUGCUUAGAUAUUACAUGGAAUACCAAUUGCGAAGGCAGGUUACUACAAAUGGAUUGACGCUGAUGGACGAAAGCGUGGGGAGCGAACAGGAUUAGAUACCCUGGUAGUCCACGCCGUAAACGAUGGAUACUAGCUGUUGGGAGUAAUCUCAGUGGCUAAGCGAAAGUGAUAAGUAUCCCACCUGGGGAGUACGAACGCAAGUUUGAAACUCAAGGAAUUGACGG
rnacentral:rRNA from 1 species